rnacentral:lncRNA from 1 species
CCUGGGGUUCUGUCUCUCCCAGCUGCUGCUAGAUGCCUCUGAGAAGCUCUGUUUCCAGGUAAGGAGACCACCUGUCCUAAGACCCACAGGACCUGGAACAGGAACCGGCUGAGUGGACUCCCUGGUGAAAUGAAUUGGACCAACUGUAGGUUCCAGGACUCCAGAGUCAGCAGCGAUGCCUUCCUGAACAACCCCUCACCAUUGCUCUGCUCGGGUAAGACCAGCUGAAAACCAGCCCUAGGC